UACGGAGGAUGCAAGCGUUAUCCGGAUUUAUUGGGUUUAAAGGGUGCGCAGGUUGUUUGAUAAGUCAGUGGUGAAAGUCUGUCGCUUAACGGUAGGAUUGCCAUUGAUACUGUUGGACUUGAAUAUGGAUGAGGUAGGCGGAAUGUGUAGUGUAGCGGUGAAAUGCAUAGAUAUACCACAGAACGCCGAUUGCGAAGGCAGCUUACUAAGCUGUUACUGACGCUGAGGCACGAAAGCGUGGGGAUCAAACAGGA
rnacentral:rRNA from 1 species